rnacentral:rRNA from 1 species
UACGAAGGGGGCUAGCGUUGCUCGGAAUCACUGGGCGUAAAGGGUGCGUAGGCGGGUCUUUAAGUCCGGGGUGAAAUCCUGGAGCUCAACUCCAGAACUGCCUUUGAUACUGAAGAUCUUGAGUCCGGGAGAGGUGAGUGGAACUGCGAGUGUAGAGGUGAAAUUCGUAGAUAUUCGCAAGAACACCAGUGGCGAAGGCGGCUCACUGGCCCGGUACUGACGCUGAGGUGCGAAAGCGUGGGGAGCAAACAGG